rnacentral:rRNA from 1 species
AAGUCCCAAGGUUUCCGUAGGUGAACCUGCGGAAGGAUCAUUA